rnacentral:rRNA from 1 species
UACAGAGGGGGCAAGCGUUGUUCGGAAUUACUGGGCGUAAAGGGCGCGUAGGCGGCCUUCUAAGUCGAACGUGAAAUCCCCGGGCUCAACCCGGGAACUGCGUCCGAUACUGGAAGGCUUGAAUCCGGGAGAGGGAUGUGGAAUUCCAGGUGUAGCGGUGAAAUGCGUAGAUAUCAGGAGGAACACCGGUGGUGUAGACGGCUCACUGGACCGUAACUGACGCUGAGACACGAAAGCGUGGGUAGCAAACAGG